GCCAUCUCUCCUAACUGCGGAGAAGAGAAUAACGUCAUAGAGGGGAGUAGCAGUGGGGUCAGGGAGUGAGGACAGGUAGCUUUUGGCAGGGCAACCAAUGGCAGGAAGGGUGUUUAGGGCAGUGGCUAUGGCAUGAAUCUUUGUGUGGAAGUGGGUAUUUGAUUCUUUAUAUUCACGGGUUUUACCAUGUCUUUAACCAAAGUGUAGGCUUUUUUUU
rnacentral:lncRNA from 1 species